GAGCUAAUACCCGGAUACCCCCACCCGAGCCGCGAUGGGUUUUGGUGAGGAAAUGGAUUCCGCUUCGGGAGGGCCGUCGCGGCCUAUCAGCUAGUUGUGGGGUAACGGCCCACCAAGGCAUCGACGGGUAGCUGGUCUGAGAGGACGAUCAGCCACACUGGGACUGAGACACGGCCCAGACUCCUACGGGAGGCAGCAGUGGGGAAUCUUGCGCAAUGGGCGAAAGCCUGACGCAGCAACGCCGCGUGGGGGAUGAAGGCUCUCGGGUUGUAAACCCCUUUCAGCAGGGACGAAUCAAGACGGUACCUGCAGAAGAAGCCCCGGCUAACUACGUGCCAGCAGCCGCGGUAACACGUAGGGGGCAAGCGUUGUCCGGAUUUAUUGGGCGUAAAGAGCUCGUAGGUGGCUGAGUAAGUCGGAUGUUAAAUCCCCAGGCUCAACCUGGGACACCACCCGAUACUGCUCUGGCUAGAGUCCGGUAGGGGGAGCGUGGAAUUCCUGGUGUAGCGGUGAAAUGCGCAGAUAUCAGGAG
rnacentral:rRNA from 1 species